AUGUCAAACUUCUCUAACACUGACCGAGUUUGUAGGACAAAUAUAUACUAGCAUCUACAAUACCAAAUAAAUGCACUAUCAAGAGUCAAGACAAAUUUCAUGGUGGAUUUGAUGAAACUAAUUUGAUUUUGUAUGUGUUGGUCCAUUUUUUCAAUAAACUUGGUCAAAGUUAGAGAAGUUUGACUUAG
rnacentral:pre_miRNA from 1 species